AUCCUGCUGACGAGUCCCAAAUAGGGCGAAGCCCGCGUCCACGAU
rnacentral:hammerhead_ribozyme from 1 species